UCCCUGGAGGAUUAGUGGUUAGGCCACAGUGCUCUCGCUGCCAAGGCCCGGGUUCGAUUACCGGCCAGGGAA
rnacentral:tRNA from 1 species